GCUGGGCAUGGUGGCUCAUGCCUGUAAUCCCAGCACUUUGGGAGGCUGAGGUGGGUGGAUCACCUGAGGUCAGGAGUUCGAGACCAGCCUGGCCAACAUAGUGAAACCCCAUCUCUA
rnacentral:SRP_RNA from 2 species